UUUCCGUAGGUGAACCUGCGGAAGGAUCAUUAAAAAUCCACGUGUGUCUAUUGACACUUGUUGAAAUGUUGAGCGGUGGUGAGAGGAAGGAGGAGGCGCGGGGGGCAACCCGCUCUCUCCCUCUCCCUCUCGCCCCACUCUGCCAUUAUUAUCACUUGUAUUCUCUGUGUUCAGCUUUAUGACACACAAACUUACACAACUUAUAACAAUGGAUCUCUAGGCUCUU
rnacentral:misc_RNA from 1 species